UCAGUAACGAAGUUAACGCGUAAGUUGACCGCUUGGGAUACGNCGGCAAGUUGAAACUCAAGGGANUUGACGGGGACCCGCACANGCGUUGGAUGAUGUGGUUUAAUUCGAUGCAACGNGAAAAACCUUACCCACCUUUGACAUGUAUGGAAUCCUUUAGAGAUAGAGGAGUGCUCGAAAGAGAGCCAUAACACAGGUGNUGCAUGGCUGUCGUCAGCUCGUGUCGUGAGAUGUUGGGUUAAGUCCCGCAACGGAGCGCAACCCUUGCCAUUAGUUGCUACGAAAGGGCACUNUAAUGGGACUGCCGGUGACAAACCGGAGGAAGGUGGGGAUGACGUCAGUCCUCAUGGCCCUUAUAGGUGGGGCUACACACGUCAUACAAUGGCUGGUACAGAGGGUUGCCNAACCCGCGAGGGGGAGCCAAUCCCAUAAAGCCAGUCGUAGUCCGGAUNGCAGUCUGCAACUCGACUGCGUGAAGUCGGAAUCGCUAGUAAUCGCGGAUCAGAAUGUCGCGGU
rnacentral:rRNA from 1 species